rnacentral:rRNA from 1 species
GGUAACGGCUCACCUAGGCGACGAUCCCCUAGCUGGUCUGAGAGGAUGACCAGCCACACUGGAACUGAGACACGGUCCAGACUCCUACGGGAGGCAGCAGUGGGGAAUAUUGCACAAUGGGCGCAAGCCUGAUGCAGCCAUGCCGCGUGUGUGAAGAAGGCCUUCGGGUUGUAAAGCACUUUCAGCGGGGAGGAAGGCGAUGAGGUUAAUAACCUUCGUCGAUUGACGUUACCCGCAGAAGAAGCACCGGCUAACUCCGUGCCAGCAGCCGCGGUAAUACGGAGGGUGCAAGCGUUAAUCGGAAUUACUGGGCGUAAAGCGCACGCAGGCGGUCUGUCAAGUCGGAUGUGAAAUCCCCGGGCUCAACCUGGGAACUGCAUUCGAAACUGGCAGGCUAGAGUCUUGUAGAGGGGGGUAGAAUUCCAGGUGGUAGCGGUGAAAUGCGUAGAGAUCUGGAGGAAUACCGGUGGCGAAGGCGCCCCCUGGGACAAAGACUGACGCUCAUGUGCGAAAGCGUGGGGAGCAAACAAGGAUGUAGAUACCCUGGUAGUCCACGCCGUAACGAUGUCGAUUUGGGAGGUUGUGCCCUUGAGGCGUGGCUUCCGGAGCUAACGCGUUAAUCGACCGCCU